ACUAAACAGUACUUUCUAUACCGCAAAUAUAAAGGGUCUUUCACCAGAAAAAUAUAAUCCUCGAAUUGUUUCUAUCAAUGCGAUAGGGAGUUUAGGAUACACAGAGUUAGCAACAACAUUUGUUAUAGAAAGAGAGUUUCAGGCUCCAAAUCGCUUUCACAGAACUGGAACUUUUUGUCGCUGUCAUUAUAACUGUAGUACUUAUUGCUGCCGCUAUUUGCAUCGGGCUUUUCAUAUGGAAGAAAAGAAAAUCGGUGAAAGAGCAAGCUAAUGGAAAUAUAUAUGAAUCAACAUCACGGUCUGAUACAACAUCCCAAGAACCGUAUGAAGUCUUACACGGUUUCAGAGAUUCCAACACGUUAGACACCUAUGACAGUCUAAAUACCAAAAGAAAAAGAUGCUCGAAUUAAUCCGUUUCCAAAUGGAGGAGAUGAUAUAG